UUUUAGGGCUUCUGCCAUGAGUGACACACAUAAGACAACUUGAAUAUUCUAUUUGUGGAAUAGACAUCAAGAUUUCGGAAGCAUUUUUUUGAUAUCUUGGCAGCUGGUGAUUGUUGAUCCUGGCACCCAC